GUUGUUUUCUUUAGUACGAAAGGACCAAGAAAACAGAACCCCUGUUAACAACACGUUCUAAAAUUAUAGAUUAAACUCAACUAAAAUCUAAAACAAAACAAACCAACACCCGAAGAUCACGGGUUA
rnacentral:rRNA from 1 species